rnacentral:ncRNA from 1 species
ACGAACCUCUGGAGAGACUUAUUAAAUUAAGCACCGAAGGAGCAAGCCUAUUUAUAGGUGAAACUCUCAGGUAAAAGGACAGUGGGAUG